GAUGAAGAACGCAGCGAAAUGCGAUAAGUAGUGUGAAUUGCAGAAUUCAGUGAAUCAUCGAAUCUUUGAACGCACAUUGCGCCCUUUGGUAUUCCUUAGGGCAUGCCUGUUCGAGCGUCAUUUAAACCUUCAAGCUCAGCUUGGUGUUGGUUGACUGUCCGCUUCACCGCGGACUCGCCUCAAAAUUAUUGGCGGCCGGUACAUUGGCUCUCGAGCGCAGCAGAAACGCGUAACUCGAGGUCCUCGUGCUGGCUCCCAGAAGCUAUCUUCACAAUUUUGACCUCGGAUCAGGUAGGGAUACCCGCUGAACUUAAGCAUAUCAAUAAGCGGAGGA
rnacentral:misc_RNA from 1 species